rnacentral:rRNA from 1 species
GAUGAACGCUGGCGGCGUGCCUAAUACAUGCAAGUCGAGCGAACAGAUGAGGAGCUUGCUCCUCUGACGUUAGCGGCGGACGGGUGAGUAACACGUGGAUAACCUACCUAUAAGACUGGGAUAACUUCGGGAAACCGGAGCUAAUACCGGAUAAUAUAUUGAACCGCAUGGUUCAAUAGUGAAAGACGGUUUUGCUGUCACUUAUAGAUGGAUCCGCGCCGCAUUAGCUAGUUGGUAAGGUAACGGCAUACCAAGGCAACGAUGCGUAGCCGACCUGAGAGGAUGACCGCCCACACUGGAACUGCGACACGGUCCAGACUCCUACGGGAGGCAGCAGUGGGGAAUAUUGGACAAUGGGCGAAAGCCUGAGGGAGCCACGCCGCGUGGGUGAAGAAGGUCUUCGGAUUGAAAACCUCUUUUGUUGGGAAAGAAAAAAUGUAGAAUAAUACCGCGCUGUUUUGACGGUACCUAAAAAAAAAGCACCGGCUAACUCCGUG